UGCUUGGGGCACAACUUUCGCGGCAAUCUAAUAGAUUCCUCGGAGAAAAGGGAAGCUGCCGCGACACGAAUUGGACAGAUUCCAAAGGCGAAGUCUUAGGGCAACGGUUCGCGGUUCCUGUCUCGUUCCAUUCAUUUCGAAUCCUAGCUCUCUUUCAUCGGACCGGAGAUCUGAGGAAUAGUUGUGAGUUUGGGGGCCGGUCGUUUGUUCCACUCGAGAUUGCGCGAGACAACAGGGGCCCGGCCCGGGGACAACAGGAGCCCGCGGAACGAAUCUUUGAACCAGCGAAACGCAGCGGAAAGAUUGUGUCCCGGAAUUCUUGCCACGAGACGGCCACGCACUUGCACUCGCCUAUCCAGAGGAGGGAACUUUGUUCAAAUCGCGGAUCCGGCGAAAGUUGAUCGUUGCGUAACCAUCGCGGAAUACCCGGCAUCGUUUACGAAUCGGUGGAUCGCUGACAGGAAAACUUUUCGAAGCCCGGAUGCCACGUGCUCACUUCCUCGUGGAAAUUCCAGGAUCCUCCGAAGAUUCCGCAUCUACAUCGCUCUUACUCCGCUUGAGAAUUCCUGUACAACUUCCGACAGGAAUUUCAAUUGGGAGUGAUGCUAUAUUCGCGAUAUCCCGUGGAUUAAACGGCUGAAAAAUCUAGCUCGACCGGUGCCUUUCGAUGAUCAGAUUUCAAUUAACCGGAGAUACUAUUUCAAAUCGAGCUUGUUAGCAGCGACGAGGCGGGCAGCCUCCUCAAGCUUUCGGCAGACGUUCUGUUUUGUACGAGAUCACCGAUGUAACUUGAUCGCGACGAUUCAUUUUGAAAUAGCACGAUGCGCGAUCGAUCGUUCCAUCGAAAUUCGAAUCGAGACUUAUAACGGCUACGAACAAUGGAAAAAGUAACUGAUUAAAUUCUAAGUUGCCGUAGUUGACAGCAAAUAUGACUCGAUCAUCUUGAUUCGGUGUAAAGGGGUUCAAGCUGAAAUUAUCGAUGGUUCGAGAAUUCGUCAAAUCUAGGAACUGCGAACUCGGUAAUCCCAGGAGGAUUACGGAUGUUCAAGAAACAAGAGAAUUUUCAUAGAAAACCGGAAUUUCCUGAUACACACCAUUUGAAACCAGCAGCACCACAAAAAUUGACUUCUCGCGGAAAUAGUUCCAAGCUAAAUUUUCUUUAGGUAAAUAUUUAUUGGUUCGUAUCUUAGGAGACCAUUUUUUCUAUAAAUACGUAAAAUUCUUGGUGCGUUGGAUCGCGGUUCGACGAAUUGUUGGACAAGAAGAUUCGAAGACUCGUGGAAGAGGCGAAAUGGAUAAGAUAGGCAGAGGAGGUUUUUUCGUGGAUUCGUCGGCGCUGUCUAUUCGAGUCCUCCCUUGAUUCGCAUAUGGCUGCUGGAUGGCCCGCCCCGUCGACGCUUCCAUACCAGUGAUUGAUGCUCGACGUCGUUUCGCAGACGCGACUACAUAAAUCAAAAGGCAUCCUUAUACGCGCGAACCCUUUUCUUGUCGCGGUCCCCUUCUUCUCCGUUUCUUUUUUCCCGUCUGCCCCCUUUCCGAGGCGCCUCGAUGCGUUAUCAAAUCCGUCGAUGACAGACGAGAACGUAUUAAAUACCGAACGGGACGGGCAUCGAUUGUCAUCGGGUCGUCGGGACGUCGGGACGUCGGAACGCCCCGCGCCUGGACGGAGACGUCCCUCGAAAAAGGUGGGCGUCGAACGAACACGUGCAUCAUCCCCGAGGCCUCGCAACGAUUGAGAUAUGUUUUCCCCAGGCUUCUUUCCUCUGCUUCACUAUGCCGUUCGUUCUUCUUUUUCCACAGCACACGUACCCCGACCCUAAUUAUCCUACGGCGCUUGUUCCGUACAUAUUGUUUGGCACCGUGAAGAUGCUCGGGUGCUGCUGACAGAACUGCCGACGGAAUUGCGGUUUUUAAGAGGAACACGUGCGAGCGUUACCUUUUCAUGUCCUCGCCACAAACGGGGCAAUUAGCUACUAAACCCACUCACGAUGUUUCAAAAGCUGUAUCGUUUCGUGGAUCCACGUUGUUGUUGCCUGUACAAAUUCCGUAUAAUGGUUCGACUCUCGCUCAUUAGGUACUUCCUGCAGGCUUGUAUUCGACGGUUCCAGCUGUAUCGAUACAUCAUUCCUGACAAGGAAUACCAUCUAGAAUAGAGAAAGGGGAAAGCUGUAAGAGUUUGCGAGAGACGGAUGAAUCUACACUUUUGUGCGUUAGCAUCCCCUUUGCAUGGAGGAGCGGUGAGAAACGAUUCAAACAGCUGCGUCACUUAUUGUACUACAUCCAUUAAAAUGGCCCACGAGAAUCAUGCCUCCUUUUGAGAAUUAAUUUCUUUUCACUACCGAGAUACUUUAUAUCUCUCUCCAACGAUGUUAUUGUUUCGAAUGCUUCUAACUAUCUAGUCUGCGAAUUUGAUACACUUACGAUAGAAAUAAAUAGGCGUUGUCGCAUAUCUUGUCUUAAGCUGAUUUUCUGGAUGAAGUGGUAAUGCCAUUUUGUUUAAACAUACUAUUCAAUUCUAACAAUCAUAUUAGACAAAUUAAAUUGUAUACACUCGA